rnacentral:snoRNA from 1 species
CCCCCAUGAAUUCUCCUUUGUGCCAUUGUGUCUGGGUCAUUGAUGCUCUGGGAUGGGUCUGGGGGGGG